AAAGCGUGCGCAGGCGGUUUUGUAAGACUGUCGUGAAAUCCCCGGGCUCAACCUGGGAACUGCAUUUGUGACUGCAUGGCUAGAGUACGGUAGAGGGGGAUGGAAUUCCGCGUGUAGCAGUGAAAUGCGUAGAUAUGCGGAGGAACACCGAUGGCGAAGGCAAUCCCCUGGACCUGUACUGACGCUCAUGCACGAAAGCGUGGGGAGCAAACAGGAUUAGAUACCCUUGU
rnacentral:rRNA from 1 species